rnacentral:rRNA from 1 species
AGAGUUUGAUCCUGGCUCAGGACGAACGCUGGCGGCGUGCUUAACACAUGCAAGUCGAACGAGAUCCUUCGGGGUCUAGUGGCGAACGGGUGAGUAACACGUGAGCAACCUGCCCCUGGCUCUGGGAUAGCCUCCGGAAACGGGGAUUAAUACCGGACAUGACUCCCCACCGCAUGGUGGGGGGUGGAAAGUUUUUCGGC